rnacentral:rRNA from 1 species
AGAGUUUGAUCCUGGCUCAAGAUGAACGCUGGCGGCGUGCUUAACACAUGCAAGUCGAACGAAGCACUUUAUUACGAUUUCUUCGGAAUGACGAUUUAGUGACUGAGUGGCGGACGGGUGAGUAACGCGUGGGUAACCUGCCUUAUACAGGGGGAUAACAGUUAGAAAUGACUGCUAAUACCGCAUAAGCGCACAGGAUUGCAUGAUCUGGUGUGAAAAACUCCGGUGGUAUAAGAUGGACCCGCGUCUGAUUAGCUGGUUGGUGAGGUAACGGCCCACCAAGGCGACGAUCAGUAGCCGACCUGAGAGGGUGACCGGCCACAUUGGGACUGAGACACGGCCCAAACUCCUACGGGAGGCAGCAGUGGGGAAUAUUGCACAAUGGGGGAAACCCUGAUGCAGCGACACCGCGUGAGCGAAGAAGUAUUUCGGUAUGUAAAGCUCUAUCAGCGGGGAAGAAAAUGACGGUACCUGACUAAGAAGCACCGGCUAAAUACGUGCCAGCAGCCGCGGUAAUACGUAUGGUGCAAGCGUUAUCCGGAUUUACUGGGUGUAAAGGGAGCGUAGACGGCACGGCAAGCCAGAUGUGAAAGCCCGGGGCUCAACCCCGGGACUGCAUUUGGAACUGCUGAGCUAGAGUGUCGGAGAGGCAAGUGGAAUUCCUAGUGUAGCGGUGAAAUGCGUAGAUAUUAGGAGGAACACCAGUGGCGAAGGCGGCUUGCUGGACGAUGACUGACGUUGAGGCUCGAAAGCGUGGGGAGCAAACAGGAUUAGAUACCCUGGUAGUCCACGCCGUAAACGAUGA